rnacentral:lncRNA from 1 species
GCGGCAAAAUCGCGCAGCACCAGCGCGCCCGCGCGCGGCUCCAUCACGCGGCAACAACGUGCGGCACCUGCGCGCCCGCGCGCGGCACCAUCGCGCGCAGCAAGCGCACCCGCGCGCGGCACCAUCGCGCGCCGCAAGCGCCACAGCGCGCGGCACCAUCGCGCGCAGCAAGCGCCACAGCGCGCGGCACCAUCGCGCGCAGCCAGCGCGAUCGCGCGCGGCAACAUGUCCAGCAGCCAGCGCGAUAGCUUGCGGCACCAUCGCGCGCAGCAAGAGCGCCAGCGCGCGGCACCAUCGCGCGCAGCAAGCGCCCCAGCGCGCGGCACCAUCGCGCGCAGUUAGCGAGAUUGCUCGCGGCACCAUCGCGCGCAGCAAGCGCCCCAGCGCGCGGCACCAUCGCGCGCAGUUAGCGAGAUUGCUCGCGGCACCAUCGCGCCCAGCAAGCGCCCCAGCGCGCGGCACCAUCGCGCGCAGGCAGCGCGAUCGCGCGCGGCAACAUCUCCCGCAGCCAGUGCGAUAGCGUGGGGCACCAUCGCGCGAAACAAGCGCGCCCGCGCGCGGCACCAUCGCGCGCAGCAAGCGUCCCAGCGCACGGCACCAUCGCGCGCAGCCAGCGCGAUAGCGAGGGGCACCAUGGCGCGCAGCAAGCGCGGCUGCGCGCGGCACCAACGCGCGCAGCAAGCGCGCCAUCGCGCGGCACCAUCGCGCGCAGCAAGCGCGCCCGCGCGCGGCACCAUCGCGCGCAGCCAGCGCGAUAGCGAGGGGCACCAUGGCGCGCAGCAAGCGCGCCUGCGCGCGGCACCAUCGCGCGCAGCAAGCGCGCCAUCGCGCGGCACCAUCGCGCGCAGCAAGCGCGCCCGCGCGCGGCACCAUCGCGCGCGGCACCAUCGCGCGCAGGCAGCGCGAUCGCGCGCGGCACCAUCUCCCGCAGCCAGCGCGAUAGCGUGCGGCACCAUCGCGCGCAGCAAGAGCGCCAGCGCGCGGCACCAUCGCGCGCAGCAAGCGCCCCAGCGCGCGGCACCAUCGCGCGCAGCCAGCGCCCCAGCGCGCGGCACCAUCGCGCGCAGCCAGCGCCCCAGCGCGCGGCACCAUCGCGCGCAGCAAGCGCCCCAGCGCGCGGCACCAUCGCGCGCAGUUAGCGAGAUUGCUCGCGGCACCAUCGCGCGCAGGCAGCGCGAUCGCGCGCGGCAACAUCUCCCGCAGCCAGCGCGAUAGCGAGGGGCACCAUGGCGCGCAGCAAGCGCGCCUGCGCGCGGCACCAACGCGCGGCACCAUCGCGCGCAGCAAGCGCGCCCGCGCGCGGCACCAUCGCGCGCAGCAAGCGUCCCCGCGCGCGGCACCAUCGCGCGCAGGCAGCGCGAUCGCGCGCGGCACCAUCUACCGCAGCCAGCGCGAUAGCGAGGGGCACCAUGGCGCGGUGCAAGCGCGCCAUCGCGCGGCACAAUCGCGCGCAGCAAGCGCACCAGCGCGCGGCACCAUCGCGCGCAGUUAGCGAGAUUGCUGGCGGCACCAUCGAGCGCACCAAGCGCCCCAGCGCGCGGCACCAUCGCGCGCAGCAAGCGCCCCAGCGCGCGGCACCAUCUCCCGCAGCCAUCGCGAUAGCGAGGGGCACCAUGGCGCGCAGCAAGCGCGCCAUCGCGCGGCACAAUCGCGCGCAGCAAGCGCACCAGCGCGCGGCACCAUCGCGCGCAGUUAGCGAGAUUGCUGGCGGCACCAUCGAGCGCACCAAGCGCCCCAGCGCGCGGCACCAUCGCGCGCAGCAAGCGCCCCAGCGCGCGGCACCAUCUCCCGCAGCCAUCGCGAUAGCGAGGGGCACCAUGGCGCGCAGCAAGCGCGCCAUCGUGCGGCACAAUCGCGCGCAGCAAGCGCACCAGCGCGCGGCACCAUCGCGCUUAGUUACGAGAUUGCUCGCGGCACCAUUGCGCGCACCAAGCGCCCCAGCGCGCGGCACCAUCGCGCGCAGGCAGCGCGAUCGCGCGGCAAGGCUCCAACGAUCUUGCGCGAGGCUGCGCACGCUGGCGCGCGAGGUUGCCCACUCUCGCGCGGCAAGGCAGCCAACUCUCGCGCGGCAAGGCUGCCCACGCUCGCGCGGCAAGGCUGCCCACGCUCGCGCGGCAAGGCUGCCCACGCUCGCGCGGCAAGGCUGCGCACUCUGGCGCGCGAGGCUGCCCACGCUCGCGCGGCAAGGCUGCGCACUCUGGCGCGCGAGGCUGCCCACCCUCGCGCGGCAAGGCAGCCAACCCUGGCCCGCGAGGCUGCCCAUUUCCGAGUAAAGCAUGCUUCACCCACUCGCGAGGAAGGCAGCGCGAACUCGUGCGAGGGAUGUAGCCCAGCCUCGCGUGCCCGCAGCGCACGCUCGCGGGGAAGGAUACGAGCGCGCGCGCGGCAUGCACCUGGCACUCGCGCGGCAAACUGCCUAAGCUCGAGAGGCAUGCAGCGCGCGGCCGCGAGCAAGGCAAACUGCCGACGCUCGAGCGAGGCAAGGCAGCGGGCGCUCGCC